UACCAGCACCCCGAGUGGUCGGGACGAUUAUUGGGCCUAAAGCAUCCGUAGCCGGUUCUACAAGUCUUCCGUUAAAUCCACCUGCUUAACAGAUGGGCUGCGGAGGAUACUAUAGAGCUAGGAGGCGGGAGAGGCAAGCGGUACUUAGUGGGUAGGGGUAAGAUCCGUUGAUCCAUUGAAGACCACCAGUGGCGAAGGCGGCUUGCCAGAACGCACUCGACGGUGAGGGAUGAAAGCUGGGGGAGCAAACCGG
rnacentral:rRNA from 1 species